UGAAUGAUAUUAUAAUUGCGGUGACUGCGUUUUGCGAUGCGGGAGAAGUGCGGUGCGGUUCAAAUAGUAACGAAAAUACAUAGAUACACAUGUAUAUAUAGACAUUUUGAUAUUGUUACAGCACUGUUGCGGUGCGGUUUUGGGUGCGGUCUAUGUCACCAUUCACCAUACAUAUGUAUAUUUUAAUAUACUCUAUCAAUUCACUAUGUAUAC
rnacentral:sRNA from 1 species